rnacentral:rRNA from 1 species
AUGCCCGAUGAUGUUCCCGGGGUGACCUCUCCCAUGGUCUACAUCGGGAUGCUCUUCAGUUGGUUCGCAUGGCACAUCGAGGACCAUGAGCUCCACAGUCUCAACUUCCUCCACACCGGUGCGCCCAAGACGUGGUACGCGGUUCCUGGGGAUCGGGCUGCCGAGCUCGAGGAAGUUAUCCGUGUGCAUGGCUAUGGAGGCAAUCCUGAUCGCCUUGCGUCCCUGGCAGUGCUUGGGGAGAAAACGACAUUGAUGUCCCCUGAGGUCAUUGUAGCCUCUGGUCUGCCCUGCUGUAGAUUGGUACAACACCCUGGUGAAUUUGUGGUGACCUUCCCAAGGGCCUACCAUGUUGGGUUUAGCCAUGGAUUUAAUUGUGGAGAAGCUGCCAAUUUUGCAACUCCUCAGUGGUUGAAGUUUGCCAAAGAGGCCGCAGUUCGAAGAGCUGUGAUGAAUUAUCUUCCUAUGCUUUCUCAUCAACAGCUACUGUAUUUGCUAGCAGUUGAUGAUGUUCACAGUAUCGAGUCUGUCCCCAAAGAAAACAGUUCAUCUGAUGAUAUUGCAUCUAGAGCUGGGGUACAACCUAAAUGCAUGUCUAUGGACAGCAAAUCAUCUGAUGCCAUGUCUACUUCCGAGGCGCAAAAACUUGAUACUGACACUGAUGAUGAUGGUGACCUUCCUUUUGAUUUGAGCAUUGAUUCCGGCUCAUUGACCUGUGUUGCUUGUGGAAUUCUUGGCUUCCCGUUUAUGGCAAUUUUGCAACCCUCCAAGAAAGCAUUGGAAGAUAUGUCCCUUGUUGAUGUAGAGAGAUUUAAGCUGAAUUGUGAAAAAGAGAACCAUUCAAAUGCAAUUUCAUGUUCUCCUGAUGAUGGCAAUUCAGGACAUCCAGUUAUUGCCAAAAGACCUUCCAGCCCUGUGGCAGAGUCUAACUUCAGUCAUCAGAAUGCGGAAUCAGAUAAAGAUGGUGUGGGACUUGAUGGACCCCUACCACCACAUAAUAAUAGUUCACAUUCUUGCAGCAGUGAAAAUACCCUUAAUCCGUGCAUCAACACAGAGACAACCGAGACGAAGAUACCGAGCGCUCGUUUUGGUAUAGAAUUUAGUAAACAAACUGGCAGAGGUGAUAUUGAUGCACAAGCCACAGAAAGUUGCGGCAACACUGUUGACUGGAAUAUAUCCUCUGCAUUUGUACGUCCCCGUAUCUUCUGCUUGCAACAUGCACUUGAGAUUGAAGAGUUGCUUGAAGGCAAAGGGGGUGUACAUGCUCUCAUCAUUUGCCAUGCAGAUUACACCAAGCUAAAAGCACUUGCAAUAUCAAUUGCCGAGGAAAUCGAGUUUCAAUUUGACUGUAAAGAUGUUCCACUUGCAAAUGCGUCCAAAUCUGAUCUACAUCUAAUCAACAUUUCAAUUGAUGACGAGGGGUACAAGGAAGAUGAAAGAGAUUGGACGGCACAGAUGGGUCUAAACAUGAAAUAUUUUGCCAAGCUUAGGAAAGAAACACCAGGUUGCCAAGAGCAACCUCCUCUAUCCUUUUGGAAGAGAUUAGACAUCUCAGAUAAGCCUUCGCCUAUUUCUGUCGUUCCAAACCUCAAAUGGCUCUGCAGGAGAGCACGAACCCCAUAUAGAGUUGUUGGUUAUGCUGCCAGUCGUAAUGCCACAGUAGGUCCUGAUGUGGUUAGCCCUGCAGUUACAAAGGCUGAGAUGGGCACUUCUGGAAAUGCUUACGAGAAUGCCAAAGAACAGCAAACUGCUGAACAAGACGCCCCUCUGGAGCCAAGUAGGUUGCAAGAAGCUGAUGAUGUUGCUGAUAUGCACACGUGUUCUGAGGACAUUGAUCAAGACAUGCAUUGUCUGAUUGGUAGCAAGAGACAGCGAACCGCUGAACAAGAUGCCCCUCUGCAGCCAAGUGGGUUGCAAGAAGCUGAUGAUGUAGUCGAUAUGCACACGUGUUCUGUGGACAAUGAUCAAGCCAUGCAUCGUCUGAUUGGUAUCCCUGUUGCUGUUGCUGAAUAUCCGAUGAUGCAUCAAGUUUGUGAAGGUACAGUAAGUGUUAGCACCUGUGAACUUGACGAUCUGGUAAGUGCUAGCACUAGUGAUGAUUCAGUUUGUAAAGCGUAUUCUCAGGAUUCACCUGGGGUGUCAGAUGACUUUACCGCUGAACAGAAAAGUGUCCAGUCAGAUGAGUUGACUAGUUCCGUAGCUAUGUCCGUACAACAGUUCCUUGUCGAUGAAAGUAUGAUUGCAGAAGACAGCAGCAAUCAUGAAAACUUGGGUUGUUAUAAUGUUACUUCAGAGUGCAAAGAUAAACAGCUGCAAGUUCAACAGGAGCAGGAGAAUAUUGAACUUUGUAAUAAUGCUGGCAGAAACUUGGCCACAGUAGUACAGGUUGAUUCCAGCCAUUUCCGUGACAAGGCCGUCAAUCUCAAGAGUGCUAUUCCCACUGAGUCACAGCAUGAGUAUCCGAGGAGAGAUGCCAUUGUUUUGGAAGGCAUGCAAGCUGCUUUGACGACAGUGGUCUCUGAAGAAAAUAGAAAUUCAGUUCACACAGAAUUGGAUUCCCUUGGUAUUUUACUUGGAGCUUUAGCAGAAGAAUCCAUUCUAGCAGAUGUUCCUGGAAAAGAUGAGGUUGACGAUGCUUCCUUGACAUUGAUGACGCUGGCUAGCAUUGACCAGUCUGCAGGCGAUGUUGCACACAAUGAAGUUAUAGAGACGUCUAGCUCUUCUGUUGGCGCAUCUCUUUCAUGCAGGGGGCGGACUUUGACCAAUUUGGCAUCUGAUGGAUCGCUUAGGAUUCAGAACGCUGAAAUACAAAAUAAACAAGAAAACGCUGAAGAAGUUGGUGCCUGGAACUGCCAGGGUUUGAAGAACAGCAGAGGAAUACUUGACAGUUCAGCAAACAGUUUAUCUGAGACAGGCAAAAGUUCAGGCACACCAAAUACUUAUCAACCAGACAUAUUGUCUAGAAGCAUUGGAAGCUCAAAAAGAACGAGCAUCAUAUGCUAUGUCAGACGCAAGCGCAAGCAAAAAAGAAAGAGGGAAUCACAAAGUGUUGGGAGCUUUGCCCGCGCCCCGUGCGAGAGGCUGAGGCCCAGGACGAAACCUGCAGUAAUCGAAGAGCCGGCAGAGCAGAUUGAAACCGCAAAACCAUCCGCUGCCGCAACCAAGGGCAAGAGGUCUAAGGUGGUGGAGUUAUUUCAGUGUGAGAUCGACUUCUGCGACAUGACAUUCGAGAGCAAAGCGGACCUCCGCGCCCACGAGCGCAACAUCUGCACCGACGAGUCAUGCGGCAAGCGCUUCCAGUCGCACAAGUACCUGAAGCGGCACCAGUGCGUCCACCGGGACGAGAGGCCGUUCAAGUGCCCCUGGGAGGGCUGCGGGAUGACCUUCAAGUGGCUGUGGGCCCAGACCGAGCACAUAAGAGUCCACACGGGAGAGCGCCCGUACGAGUGCUCGGUUGUAGACUGCGGGCAGACGUUCAGGUACGUCUCGGACUACAGUCGGCACAGGAGGAAGUUCAAUCACUACUGA